rnacentral:rRNA from 1 species
CAGUCGCCACGGUAAUACGGAGGGUGCAAGCGUUAAUCGGAAUUACUGGGCGUAAAGCGUGCGUAGGCGGUUUGUUAAGUCUGUUGUGAAAUCCCCGGGCUCAACCUGGGAAUGGCAAUGGAUACUGGCAAGCUAGAGUGUGUCAGAGGAUGGUGGAAUUCCCGGUGUAGCGGUGAAAUGCGUAGAGAUCGGGAGGAACAUCAGCGGCGAAGGCGGCCAUCUGGGACAACACUGACGCUGAGGCACGAAAGCGUGGGGAGCAAACAGGAUUAGAUACCCCAGUAGUCCCUGUCUCUUAUAC